UUCCUUCGAUCACCUCGCGAGCUCCAACACCCCAAAGCCGUUAGACUUGCGCUGACCGCCGUCCUUGCCGCUAGAGCACCGGUCGUGUAGCGAGAGCCUGUGUGCGACUGCGAGCUUGUCCGCCUUUGCUCACCGUAUUUGUAAGUCUUCAUAACCCACUUCGUUCACCGCUAGGUUUCUUAAGUUCUUUGUAGUUCAUCGGCGAUCAUUGAGUCUCCUCAAGUUCUUAAGUCAAUAUAGAUUAAACAUGUAUUAUUUAAUAGUUUAGAUCUCUUCACUCCUCAAUUUUAGAUCUAAACAAGUUUCUUUGAGAUGUAGAUGUUGAUUUCCUCCCUUGCGAGUAUAAUGACCAUUGUUGUCAUGUUCUAGGUCACAACUUUUUAUUUUCACCAUAAUUUUUUGUCGUUUAUAAGAUAUGUAGGACUGUCAUAGCUUCAUCGAGUAGUCGAGUAGUGUUUGUCUUCUGUGACCCGGCGGUAGUUUCCAAACGACUGGCUUACGCUCUCGCAAUAGUUUAUUUACUCGUAAGUUUUCCGUGAAAACAAAGCCAACUUGCCUUCUCGUUGACCAGGGAUUCCUCUGUGAGGCGACUUUUCAUAUUGUGACCGACUUGCUUCCAUACCGUAGUCAUGAGUCAUUUUUGCCUUGAAUCACGCUAGUCCAUGUCGGCUCAUUUUGUUUAGCUUUACUUCGUAGUCCUGCCGACUUCUGCAUCCAAAAACCAUGGCUUCCAAGGGGAAGAAAUCUAGUGAGCCAGCUCGCGACGAUUCUACAUACCGGCAAAAGCACGUGAAUUGGGCAAAGUCUGAAAUAACCAAGACCAGUCUCGAGGAGUUGCAACGAGUUGGUUUUCUGUCGUCACAGGAACACAUCAAGUGGAGAGCUUCUGAAGACGAAAUCCGGCCACAGUCUUAAGAGGGUGAAGUCAUUGUAUUUGCAGUUCAUCUAACCCAGGGUUUUGUUAGAAGAACUAAGCUCAGGUCAGGUAGUUUGUUUCUGUUUUCCAAUAAGCCUGCAUGGUUGUUAGGACCAGCUAUUCCCGCGUUCCAUGCAGGCGGACUGAGGACGUGCAGUAGGCGCGAUCGCUCAUUCUCCUGAUUCUUCUGUAAGUUAGUUUCUUUCUCCCGGUCAGCACACGCAUGUGGUACUGGAGAUCGUGGGAUGGCGCGGUCAAUCCGGAUCACAUCGAGCUGGCCGGGGUAGUUAGCUAGGACUUUCUGUAACAGAGAUAAUACGCAAGAGAAGCAAUAGAAAACGCUGGGGCAGUUGCCACAACACCAAAAACUACUGACACUCGAUUGCAAAGAGCUCGCAUCUCUCUCUCUCGUUCGAUUCGCGACGACAUUUGGCAUUAGAGCCUCGGUGUUUGAUCCUUGGUGACCGGCGGUGUGUGAUCCGCGGAGGCUAUGUCGGACAACGAGAAGACGAAGAAGGCGACGGCGGGGCAGCAGACGCUAUCGGCUGGAACACCGGUAGCUCGUCUCACCGGCGCCGGAAGUGGCGAGUUCCGCAUCAUCGAGCGGGUCGUCCGUGAGUCGGAGGGCUCGUCGGCGUCAAUGAUGCUGACGAAGACAAACUACAUGGAGUGGUCUUUGGUCAUGCAGGUUAAACUGCAGGCUGCGUGUCUCUAGACAGCGGUCACUGAGGGCACGGACGACGAGCGCGACGACAGGCGCGCCCUCUCCGUCAUCCUUACGGGCGUGCCGCCGGAGAUGCUUCGUGUUCUCGCGGCGAAGGACACGGCAAAGAUGGCCUGGGAGACCAUCAGAACGCUCCGCAUGGGGAGUGAGCGCGCAUGGGAGGCCAAGGCACAGGUACGGCGGCGGGAGUUCGAGGAUCUCCGCUUCAAGGACGGCGAGACCGUCGAGGACUUCGCCCUGCCCCUCACCGGCGUCGUCGCUGAUCUGGAGCUAUACGGCGACCCAGUGACGGAGCACGUGGCGGUCCAGAAGUUCCUUAGGGUCGUACCGCGCAAGUACAGGCAGAUGGCCAUGGCGAUCGAGUCGCUGAUCGACCUCAAAACCAUGACGGUCGAGGAGCUGACCGGGCGGCUAUCGGCGUGUGAGGAUCAAUACGGCCUCGACGAUGUCGGACACUCCAGUGGACAACUCCUGCACACCGCUGAAGAGGGGGCCGCGCGCGAGAACAAGAGCGGCGGCAGAUGACGAGGAUCGUCAUCUGCAGGCGGUGGCAGAAAGGGUAGAUCUCCGGGAAAACCAUCGGGCAAAGGUGGCGGCGGAGGCAGGAAGCCACCGUCUGGCAACGGCGGUUCCGGUGCAUCCAAUGGCAAGAAGAAGGGCAAAUGUCACUUCUGCGGCAAGGACGGACACUGGAAGAAAGAGUGCUGGACGUGGUUGGAGAAGCAGAAGGAACAAGGGAAGAAGGAACAGGCUAACCUCAUCCGCGAGGAUCACGAUGAGCACGACCAAGGUCUCUUCAUGGCCGUGGUUACAAGCGUCACCACACCUGAACUGGUGGCGCCCCAAGCUGUUUUUCUGAAUGAAGAAAAGGUGAUUCCAAUCCCUUCUCCAAACGGCCUCUCGUACUAUGAUACAGGGGCAUCCAGCCACAUGACCGGGGAGAGACACAUGUUCUCCACACUCGACGAAGGUGUGCACGGCACGGUGAAGUUUGGAGACGGCUCACUGGUAGAUAUCAAGGGGAGGGGCGCAGUUGUGUUUCGCUGUCAGAAUGGGGAUCAACGUGCUCUCUCUGAAGUGUAUUUCAUCCCAAGUUUGCGCAGCAACAUCAUUUCAGUGGGACAGUUGGAUGAGGGUGGAUGCAAGAUAGGGAUCGAGGAUGGAAUCAUGACUAUCCGAGAUCCGGGGCAGCGCACACUCGCCCGAGUCAAGAGAACGGCGAGCACACUGUACACGGGUGUGCUGAAAAUUGACGCCCCUGUCUGCCUCCUCACCAAGACUGAAGAUGUCACCUGGCGCUGGCAUGCUAGAUUGGGACAUCUACAUUUCAGAGCGAUGCGAGCCUUGUCCACGAAGCAGAUGGUACGCGAGAUGCCGAUCAUUGAGCAUGUCGAGGAGUACUGCGAUGGUUGUGCAUUGGGAAAACAACACCGCGCGCCAUUCCCUCAGUCAGCCGGAUACAGAGCAGAGAAACCAUUUGACCUUGUUCACACAGACUUGUGUGGCCCAAUCACGCCGACCAUGCCAGGCGGCAGGAAGUACUUCCUGCUGGUGGUUGACGACUAUAGCCGAUACAUGUGGUUGGAGUUGCUGAAAUCCAAGGAUGAAGCUCAUCAGAAGUUCAAGAAAGUUCAGGCUAUGGCUGAGAACGAGGGAAACUGCAGGCUCCGCGCGUUCCGGUCUGAUCGGGGCGGCGAAUUCAACUCCAUUGAGUUCAGAGAAUACAGCGAGCAGUUGGGCAUCAAGCACUACACAACCGCCCCGUACUCUCCCCAGCAGAAUGGGGUGGUCGAACGCAGGAACCAGACUGUCGUCGAGAUGGCGCGGUGCUUGUUAAAGAGCAUGGGCGUGCCAUCGUACUUCUGGGCUGAAGCAGUGAAGACUGUAGUGUACCUGCUCAACAGGGCUCCUACGCGCAGCCUGGACGGGGUGACGCCGUAUGAGGCUUGGCACGGCAACAAGCCAAGUGUGUUGCACCGACGUGUGUUCGGGUGUGUAGCUCACCUGAAGAGGCUGGGCCCUGGAGUGAUGAAGCUCUCAGACAGAUCAACUCCGACGAUCUUCGUCGGCUAUGAGGAAGGAACCAAAGGCUACCAAGUGUACAAUCCGGCUACAGAGAAGGUACAAGUCACUCGUGAUGUUGUGUUUGAAGAAAGCAGGCCAUGGAGCUGGAGCACCCAAGGCGCAGUCACCGCGUCCACGCCGUCGACGUUCUCUGUGGUUUAUGCCCAAGAAUCAGGCGCGCAUGAACUGGACACGGGCGGUGCGUCCCUGUCAAUGCCGAGGAGCGCGGCGUCACCACCCCCCACACCGGCUAUGGAAGUGCACCAUAUGGAUGUGCAAUCAGCUUUUCUCAAUGGUGACCUCGCUGAGGAGGUCUAUGUUGCGCAGCCGCCGGGGUAUGUCAUCUCUGGCAAGGAGCAGUAGGUCUUUCGGCUGAGAAAGGCACUCUACGGGUUGCGGCAAGUUCCGAGAGCCUGGUAUGCGAAGCUGGAUGAGACCAUGAGCAACCUUGGGUUCACGCGCAGCCCCCUGGAGCAUGCCGUAUACCGCCGAGGUGAUGCACACUCAUUUCUGCUAGUGGGUGUGUAUGUCGACGACCUCAUCAUAACUAGCACCAGUAAAGCUUCCAUCAACGAGUUCAAGGACCAGAUGCAAGAGCUAUUCAAAAUGAGUGACCUCGGCCUCCUAAGCUACUAUCUGGGGAUAGAGGUAAUGCAAUCUAAUGAUUCUAUAUCCUUGUGUCAGAGGAGCUAUGCAGAGAAGAUCCUUGUCGCUGCUGGAAUGGAAGGCUGCCACGGAUGUCAGACUCCCAUGGAGUGCCGGCUCAAACUGAAGAAGGAUGAUGGAACAAAACCUGCUGAUUCCUCCCUGUAUCGCAGCAUCAUUGGAAGUCUGAGGUAUUUGGUUCACUCGCGACCGGAUAUAACAUAUGCGGUUGGGAUAGUGAGCAGGUUUAUGGAGAAACCGACUACUGCUCAUUGGACAGCCGUGAAGUAGAUUCUUCGGUAUGUAAAGAGCACACUGAAGUAUGGUUGUUGCUAUCGAAGAGGAUCAGGCAAGGCGGAGCUCAUAGGUUUCAGUGACAGCGAUCAUGCAGGAAAUACUGAAGAUCGAAAGAGCACUUCUGGGAAGUUUUUCUUCCUCGAGGACAAUCCCGUAUCAUGGGUCUCUCACAAGCAAAGGAUCGUGGCUAUUAGCUCUUGUGAGGCGGGGUAUGUAGCAGCAGCAGGGGCAACAUGUCAAGGCCUCUGGCUAAGCCGUCUGCUAGCAGAGAUGAGAGGGGAAAGUACUAAUGCUUUCAAGAUUUUCAUGGACAACCAGUCUGCAAUUGCUUUGGCGAAGAACCCCGUUCAUCACGACUGAAGAAAACAUAUUGAUGUCAAGUACCAUUUCAUCCGAGACUGUGUCGAGAAGAUGGAAGUGGAGAUCGAACAUGUUGGCACAAAUGAACAAAUUGCAGAUGCGUUGACAAAGGCGCUGGGUCGGGUGAAGUUCAUAGAGCUGCGGCAGAAGCUUGGUGUGAAGGAUGUGGGCAAAGGACGCUGAGCUUAAGGGGGAGAAAUGUUAGAAGAACUAAGCUCAGGUCAGGUAGUUUGUUUCUGUUUUCAAAUAAGCCUGCAUGGUUGUUUGGACCAGCUAUUCCCGCGCUCCAUGCUGGCGGGCUGAGGACGUGCAGUAGGCGCAAUCGCUCAUUCUCUUGAUUCUUCUGUAAGUUAGUUUCUUUCUCCCGGUCAGCACGCGCAUGUGGUACUGGAGAUCGUGGGAUGGCGCGGUCAAUCCGGAUCACAUCGAGCUGGCCAGGGUAGUUAGCUAGGACUUUCUGUAACAGAGAUAAUACGCAAGAGAAGCAACAGAAAACGCUGGGGCAGUGGCCACAGCACCAAAAACUACUGACAGUCGAUUGCAAAGAGCUCGCAUCUCUCUCUCUCGUUCGAUUUGCGACGACAGGUUUCACACUAAUUGGUUCCAAAUUCUUCACGGAUGUUCCGCGUGUGUACAAUUUGCAUCCUCACGACCUAGGGCUCUAUGACAUACUUAACUUGAGCAACUUCUAGACCUGGUGUGUAGUUUAUUUUCAAAUGGAACCAACAGUAGGCCUGUUCCUGGAAUUCUUCUACUACAACAAGCAGACGGGGUGUAGCAACGGACCUCCCAUAGAGUGUGGUGUUGUAACCAUACAUAAGCGGAAAGAUGACAUUUUUCCCCACAUUAAGCUGGUGAGUCAUCCUAAAGGGUGGCACAUGACCUUCUUCUACUGGAAAGACACCUGGCCUGAAGGCCAGUCUUCUAUGUCGGGUUACCAUGACAGUCGACUUGUUUAUAAGGAAAACCUCUGCAAUGAUGCACCAGUAGCAGAGAGGAAGAAAUUCAAGCCGGGCUUGCACAUAUUAAUGCGUUGAUUGCUCAUGUCUUGACGGGCAUCGACCUGACCCAACACUAGAUGGAGUGGCGGAUUCGGCCCCUUAGUUUCCGCUGCCUACCUAGUGCAAAUAUAUUGAAGAUCCAGAAGAUGGUCUGCGGUUCAUGAUACUUGUGAUCUGUGUUGGAUUUUUUCUCAAAUAGAAGGGGAUGAUGUAGAAUAGUAAAGGUAAGUAUUUCCCUCAGUGAGAACGAAGGUAUCGAACCAAUAGGGGUACCAUGCAAUUUCUUGUAUUCGACGCCUACACACAAAAGAGCACACACUUGCACCCAACGCCGGUAAUAGGGAUGUAAAUCCCCUUGAAGUCGUUACUUGCAAGCGAUAAGUAGUGGUAGAUAGAUAAUUUGAUCAAUAUAAAUUGGAAAUAAAAAGGAAGUUUGUACUACUUAUCCCUUUGUUUCGGGGUAUGAGGAUAAAUAUUAUGGUGUCGUGCCUCAGGAUAUAUAUUACCAGAAUAGGGCUCUAGAUGGACACACGACGGAGCGGAGACUUACGGCAGCAGAAAAAGUGUUUUGGGAUGCUCUUCUAGAGUUUUUGGAAUAUAUGUGAAUUUAUAGGCUAGAGAACAGGGCCAGGAGAGUUGGGAGGUGGCCUCAAGCCAUCAGUGUGCGGCCACCCCCCUAAGAAUGCCAUGUUGGCUUGGCGGCACAAUGUGUGCCCUCCGGUAUUCCUUUGAAACUUCCAGGUCUUAUUUUUGUUCAAAAAUAAUCAAAAAGUUUCGGGGUAUUUGGACUUUGUUUGAUACAGUAUAAAAGGCCAAAACAUGCAGAAAAUAACAACUGGCUUGUCACUGGGUUAAUGGUUAGUGCUUCAAAAUAAUAUAAAGAAGUAAGUAAAUGCUUAAAUGUGUUAUUAAAUGAUAAUAUAAUAGCAUGAAACAAUAAAAAGUUAUAGAUACAUUGGAGACGUAUCAGUUAUCAAAGCAUACCCACUCACUCAAGGAAAUGAUCGAGGCAAUCAAAGCCUUGGUUGGGGAAAACACUGAAGACAUUGUAGUCCUUGGUGUGGCUCCAUUUUUCGUUGUUAGCCCGACCCCUGAGGUAAGUCGGCUCCUUUAUUUUGUCAAUACACUCUUUAUCUCCUUUUGACCCCUUUAAGAAAAAUGGCUUAUAUUUUUCAACAUGACAAUGAACAGUGGAAAACUGAUUAUCAAGCUCCUAAUCCCCUGAAGAGGAAGUAGAGAAGAUACAAAAUGGUGAGACAAAUGAGGCAAAGCCCGAUUUUUUGGGUUGGCUGUUUAUUGCACUUCCUGACACCGACUCUUCUCAGAGUUUCUUUGGUGGUGGUGAGCCGACAGAACAAGAGGUAAAUCCUAGUGUCUCUUGUUGAACCUGUAAUUCCACGGCCCGGUUUCAGUAGCUAGGUUUGCAUUUCUUCAGCCAACUGAAUAAACGGCCAUGUGGGCCGGUAGUCAGCUCCCGUUAGAAUAGCUCAUUUUCAGUUAGAAGUAGCUAGCUUGGCGCGGCCGUUGCUGGGCAUGGGAUGGCAUGCUGAAUACAGCCGGCGGCUCGCGCACAUCACCCGGAUCACGAGCGUCGUGGGAUGGCACGACCGGUAAGCUCGCGGACGUGGUUGAUCUUUCUCUGUAACGUUUACAAAUAAGAGUAAUAGAAGUGAGAAAAGCUGCAGUUGUUGCACGCAGCACCAAAAACCCUCUCCUCCGUCUACCUUCAGCCCUCUGCGAUCUGCGAGAGAGAGAGAGCACUCCGACGUCUUCGGUUCCAACAUCUCUUGCUCUAAGACUCUGGGCAAAAGGCAGGUCCGACUUGUUGUUUGAAAGGUACCAUUUUCACACACAUCCGCUUAUAUGGAUACCCACUUACCUUUGAAGAUAAUUCAGCAUGCCGAGAGCAAGAAAAGGAAGACCCAGAGUUCCGACUCAGUGGAUCUUCACGAAGGUCUCUCUCUGGAGCCAUAUCCAUGUCGGGAUUGUAGGUAUGAAAAAUCAAGUCCUUUUGCUUCCUGUCCUCGAUCCGUGCAAAUGAAGGCACCGAUGAGUCCUUCAAACCCAGCGUUUGUGGCUUCCUCACCUUCAUCUCGCGCCUCAAGCACCAAUGCCGACUUUACCAUUAACGUUGGGUUAGCCGACACUUCAAUUGUAACAGUAAUAAUUUGCAAAUGUCUCCAUACCUUAUAUGUAUUCCUUUAUCUUUUUGAACAGGGCCAAGGCAACACUCAAGGAAAAGACGACUCCUUCCAUAGCCGCUAGUGCUGGAGCAGAGACAAUAAGCUGUGGUGGUGCUGUCAUGAACACUAGUGAGUCGGCAAGGACUGAGCUAGCCCAAGGUACUCCCUUCCAAGAUGAGCCGAUCUUGGAUGACUCAGUCCUUCAAGACCAACAAGAGGCAAUGAUGGAUGUGGUGAUGGAUAACAUGCCACCAGCCAUGGCCAGUCCUAAGCCGGUGGAAGAUGAGGUGGUGGUUACUCAUACUAAACACCAUACUCCACCCAAGACUUUGACAGUUCUGGUGAAAACUACAGUGGAACAUAACUCGGCUCCACCUAGUGAGCCGACUCAUGACGCCCAUCUCGAAUAAUAUGAAGACAUGGGUUUAUCAUCCCUUCACCAUGAGUAUGUAGAGGCAGAGCCUAUCAGCAUUUGUGUCGGCGCAGCAACUGUCAAUUCUUGAAAAAAUGAUUUUUCGCUUUGGUUACCCACACAACGUUAUCAUUUAUAAUGGCACCAACUUGUCCAAAUAAGCUAUGAAGCAGUUUUGCGAGAAGGAGCACAUCCGACUAGAUCUGGCCUCUGUAUCACAUCCGUAGUCUAACGGUAAAGCAAAGUGCCAAUCACGAACAAUUGCAUGGGAUUAAGCCAUGACUCAUGGUUCCCCUUGAGCGCACUCAUGGAUUGUGGGUUGAGGUGUUGGAAAUAUGCCCUAGAGACAAUAAUAAAUUGGUUAUUAUCAUAUUUACUUGUUCGUGAUAAUUGUUUAUUAUCAAUGGUGUAAUUGUAUUGGCCGAAAACUCAGAUACAUGUGUGGAUACAUAGACAACACCGUGUCACUAGUGAGGAUCUAUUAGAGUAGCUCAUUGAUCAAAGAUGGUUAAUGUUUCUAACCAUAGACAUGAGUUGUUGUGUGAUAAUGAGAUCACAUCAUUAGGAGAAUGAUGUGAUGGAUAGGACCCAACCGUAAGCAUAGCAUUUAAUCGUAUCCUAAGUUUAUUUC
rnacentral:lncRNA from 1 species